rnacentral:tmRNA from 1 species
CGUCUUGUGACCUUCCCCCGCCCCGCCUAUAUUGGGGCUGUUCGGGGCAACUCGGACUAUGGUGAUAAACGCACCUGUAAUAGACGGCUCGGACCCGGGGGCGGUACCCGGCGACUCCACCAAUUCACCUGUUCGUUUCAGGGGUUAGGGGUCGAAAUAGGAUCGACGAACGUUCAAAGAGGCCAGCUUUCACUCGGUGAGGUACCACCGUAAUCGGUCCAAAUGUACAGUUGCAAACGACAACCGUGCUCCGGUGGCUCUGGCUGCGUAAGCAGUUCGAACACCGAAACUUAAGCCCUUGCGCUUAGCCGCGUAAGGCGGGGUUCGCAGGUACCUGGCAACAGAAACCUGCAUU